GGGUGCAAGCGUUAAUCGGAAUUACUGGGCGUAAAGCGCGCGUAGGUGGUUGGUUAAGUUGGAUGUGAAAGCCCCGGGCUCAACCUGGGAACUGCAUCCAAAACUGGGCGACUAGAGUACAGUAGAGGGUGGUGGAAUUUCCUGUGUAGCGGUGAAAUGCGUAGAUAUAGGAAGGAACACCAGUGGCGAAGGCGACCACCUGGACUGAUACUGACACUGAGGUGCGAAAGCGUGGGGAGCAA
rnacentral:rRNA from 1 species